rnacentral:rRNA from 1 species
CAAAACUAGUCUCAGUUCAGAUUGCAGGCUGAAACUCGCCUGCAUGAAGUCGGAAUUGCUAGUAAUCGCAGAUCAGCAUGCUGCGGUGAAUACGUUCCCGGGCCUUGUACACACCGCCCGUCACACCAUGGGAGUCGGUAACACCCGAAGCCUGUAGUCUAACCGCAAGGAGGACGCAGUCGAAGGUGGGAUUGAUGACUGGGGUGAAGUCGUAACAAGGUACC